UGGGGAAUCUUGCGCAAUGCGCGAAAGCGUGACGCAGCAACGCCGCGUGGGGGAAGAAGGUUUUCGGAUUGUAAACCCCUUUCAGGAAGGACAAAGGUUCGGCAGUUAAUAGCUGACCGGACUGACGGUACUUCCACAAGAAGGUCCGGCUAACUACGUGCCAGCAGCCGCGGUAAUCCGUAGGGACCUAGCGUUGUCCGGAAUCAUUGGGCGUAAAGCGCGCGUAGGCGGCCCGGUAAGUCCGUUGUAAAAGUCGAAGGCUCAACCUUCGAAAGCCGAUGGAUACUGCCGGGCUAGAGUACGGAAGAGGCGAGUAGAAUUCCUGGUGUAGCGGUGGAAUGCGCAGAUAUCAGGAGGAAUACCCAUAGCGAAGGCAGCUCGCUGGGACGUUACUGACGCUGAGGCGCGAAAGCGUGGGGAGCGAA
rnacentral:rRNA from 1 species